ACCUCCUUGAAUGUUAGAUCAAUAGCAGGGUAUUUUGACGCACAUUACAAGAAAUUUGAAAUAAAACCUACGCUUCAUUUUAAGGUUUUCUAUAUAACAGAACACAUUGCGCACAGUUGCUGCGUCACUUGCCGUGUAGACGUGAGAUGUAAACAAUGAUUUUUCUUUUUACUUAGGUUAGUCAGUUCUAAUGGAAACGGUAUGAAAAUAAUUGAGAAUAUAGAGUAACUUAAUAAAUAUGUGAAUAUAAAAAUACAUUUUCUAAUAAGAUACUUCAGAGCUGAGCAAAUUGAUAUGGUACGAAGUGCCAAGAUUUUGUCAUAAAUAAUCUGUGUUGUAGAAUUAACGAGAAAAGAUAACCUUCCUUUAGAUUUACUUUGAAUUAUUCAGUUAUAUAUUUAUUUCUCAUUCAUUGUUUCGUACAUUUUUAUUGCUAAUUGAUUGAAAAACUAAUUUUCAUAGACAUUUUUCCAAUGGAAAAAACCAAUAACACUAACCUUUAUUAGUAAACUUCAUUACUAUUUUAGUAAGAAAUGAGAUAUCUACAAAUACAAAUAUCAGUUUAAACUAAUCACAUCAAUUAAUAUUACUCUGAAACUAAUAAAUUUAAUACAGUUAACAUUCUAUACAAUAACUUAACUCAAUAAUGUUCUUAUAGCACUUACACUUUUUUCAGAUUAUGAACGAUAAUAAAGAAUAGAGAGAAUUAGUUAAUAUAUUGCAGUAACAUGUAUUGUUUAUUAAGAUCAUUCUUUCAAAUGAUUUUACAAAGGUUGUCAAGAAUAAAACUGAAACAUGUCUGUAUAGGAUUUAGCAUAAUUUUCUUAUUAGAUUUUUUUGGAGUUUUCACUCACAUGUUUGAAUUAUCAUAUGAUGAAAAAUUCAGUUAUCCAUAUGAAGGUGAUAUUCAUGAAUUUGUUGUUGCUUUAAGACAUAAUAAGAAACCAAGUGUGCCUCCUAUCAAUAUAUACAAUUAUAGCUACAUCCAUGACAUAAAAGACACAUGUAUAAGAAGAAGUUUUCAUCCAUUACGUUUAGUAUUAUUAGUUAAAUCAGCCGUUGAAAAUUUUAAUAGAAGAAUGGCAAUUAGACAUUCAUGGGGAUUUGAGAAAAGAUUUUCUGAUGUCUCUAUAAAAACUGUUUUUCUGUUGGGUACUCAUGAAAAUGAUGAUGAACUACGAACAAGGAUUAAUACAGAAGCAGUCAAGUAUCAGGAUAUUGUCCAAAUUGAUUAUAUUGAUUCAUACUUCAAUAAUACCAUCAAAACUAUGAUGGGCUUUAAUUGGGCAGUAAACUAUUGCUCUAAUUCUAAAUUUUAUAUGUUUGUUGAUGAUGAUAUGUAUGUAUCUGUAAAAAAUAUUUUAAGAUUUGUUAGAAAUCCAACUUUGUAUCCCGAGUACUUGACAGACUCUUUAAAAUUUAGUGAGUGUCAAUAUUCUUUUUUAAAAUUACAUAUGAGCCUUGUAAAAGUAACAAAAUUUGUUCAUUUGUUUAUUUUUUUUACAGGAGAUGUUGCACACUUGAAAGAUAGGCCAAAAAGAUCUGCUACAUAUAACUCUACAAUACUCUACGACAAUCAAGUAGAUAAAGGUAGGAUUCAGACAAACAAUUUAAGUAAUGAAAUAAACAAAUUAGAUAUAGGACAUACCAAAUUAAGGAACAAAAUUGAAAAGAGUGCUAGAAUGAAAACAAAUAACAAAGAAAAUUACAAAAAUAUAAAGAAGCGACAAGUAUUUGAUUUUGAAUUGCCAGAAGAUGUAAGACUGUUUGCUGGCUAUGUAUUUGUUUCAGCACCACAUAGACACAGAACUUCAAAAUGGUAUAUUUCAUUGAAAGAAUAUCCAUACCACAUGUGGCCACCCUAUGUAACUGCAGGAGCUUACAUAGUGUCAAAAGAAGCUCUAUUAGAUCUUUACUAUGCUAGUAUAUACACCAAACAUUUCAAGUUUGAUGAUAUAUUUUUGGGGCUUGUUGCCAAGAAGGCUGAUAUAGAACCAUUCCAUUGCGGAGAAUUCCAUUUCUAUAAAAAAGAAUAUACAAAAUACAAUUACAAGUAUGUUAUUAGUUCGCACGGUUAUAGUGAUCCAGGUGAACUAUUACGAGUAUGGAAUGAACAAAAAGCAAUGGGUAAUGCAUAAUACGAAGAAGACUAUAGAAGUAAAUAAAUAUAUGGUCCUCUGCAUUCCAAAAUGUUGAAGCUUAUUUCUGAAUCUUUCUUUUAGUAUUAUACAAAAAAUCUAACUAUGUAUAUUAUGCAACUUAACAAGAAACAUCCUGAAUAUAGAAACUCUAGCUUACAACAUAAAAAUGCAAGCUUUAAAUUUUGAACUCAAUUAAUAUGUGUAGUUCUAUAAUAACGAAUUUUCCUACAAGUGCCAUCAAUGUCUACGUAGUUUAAAAAAUUUAUACAUCAAAUUAGCAGAAAAUAUUACACCUAAAAUAUUUUUCUAUGUGGCAAAUUCAUGUUCAUGUUUGCUAAGAUAAUCAUUCUAGAUAUUAUAAAUGAUAUAGAUUUGAAAAUAUUUUAUUCUUCCUAUAGUACAUUUAUUCAAUGCUGUGACUAAAUACUUUGCAAUUUUUGGUAAUAAAAAUAAUAUGUAAAAAUCCGAAUUAGUUAUUUUUAAAUUAUUUAUUAUUAGAACGAAACAACCGUUAAUUUUAUUCCCGUUAUAAUCGUUUGAUUGGUUCAAAUUUCUAAUUGAUGAAUUCCGCCGGCGAAUCAUACAAAGGUUGACCAAUGUAAACAGUACGUGUUAUAGACAUGAACACGUGGGCAAACUGUUACUUUGAUAUUAAAUAAAUCAUUUGUUUCGUCGAUUCAACGUUAAACAUCCUUCAUUAUUCGAUUUGUAAAAUGUCAACAAUGGACAAAAUAACUUCUUUGGUUUUGAUGCCCAGAGAAUCUGGGAAAUUCAUUGCUCAAUCAGCAUCAAACGUUUUUGUCAAAACUGAAGGAGUCAAAGAACUCGCGAGUGAGAUAUUAGAAAACUUAAAAAAUGGCCGUAUAAGCAUCAAAAACUUUUCUCAACAUUCUCUUCAUCCAUCGCCACAUGAUCGGAAGGUCUUUGAUUGGCUAUUAGUUUUAGAUUCAUUGAAUUUUUGUUUCUGGAGUGACA